rnacentral:rRNA from 1 species
UACAGAGGUCCCGAGCGUUGUUCGGAUUCAUUGGGCGUAAAGGGUGCGUAGGCGGUUUUCUAAGUCUGAUGUAUAAGUUCAAGGCUCAACCUUGGGACGCAUUGGAAACUGGGGGACUGGAGUGUAGGAGAGGAAAGUGGAAUUCCACGUGUAGCGGUGAAAUGACGCAGAUAUCAGGAGGAACACCUAUUGCGAAGGCAGCUCGCUGGGACGUUACUGACGCUGAGACGCGAAAGCGUGGGGAGCAAACAGG